AUAGUGGAGUGGAGCAAGAUGGACAAACAAAAAGAGGAAACGUAAAGGUGGUGCAGAAAAGCGGAGAGAGAAGAGGUUGAAGUCCCUUGAGGCUGAUGCAGCCAAAUGUUUUAAAAUAACAAAUUAUUAAUUUCGCGGCGUUACCAGUCAAUCAUCUCAGCCUAGUGAGCCUGAAGGCACUGGCAGCAGAGAGAGAGAGGAGCCCGGCGAUACCAGUUCAACUGUUAGUCAAGGUUUUGCAGCUGAAUCGUGGACUCUCUCCCAAGGACUCUCUCCCGAGCAACAGAAGUUGCAACAGAGGCAAACAGGGAAAUGGCAGAAAUUGGUCAGUCUCUUCCAGGAGAGAAGCAGAGAAAAUCGGUAUUUUAUUGAAGAACAGUGAGGCCAGCUGAAAAUGACUUCCGACUGAUUGGAUGUUACAUGUCAUGAUGAAUAUAAUAUGAUGUCUGCUCAAAUCUGGCAUCGCAGCUAACAUGAAUAUGCCAUUCAUAACAGCUGAGUACUGUGUUUAUGCAGUAUAAAAAAAUCCAACAAAACAUAUCAUACUGAGUACCACUCUUCAUAUUUUCAAGCAUGGUGGUGGCCAGUGGGCCUGUCUAACUUGGGUUUUUUGCAUAAUAUGAUCAUUAUCUGGCUAAUACUGGGGGACUCAAGGGGAAAUAAAAUUGGCCGGUGUGGGGGCCUCAAGGAACUAAAGUGAUUGGUGUGUUAGAAAUACCAGGGCCGAUUUCUGGUCCCAGUCCGCCCCUGGUGGUGGCUGCAUUAUGUUAUGGGUAAGCUUAUCAUCGGCAAGGACUAGGGAAAACCUGGUUCAGUCUGCUUUCCAAUAGACAGGACAAUAACCUAAAACACAAGGCCAAAUCUACAAUGGAGUUGCUUACCACGACUACAAUGUUCCUGAGUGGCCUAGUUACAGUUCUUGUCCUAAAUCGUCUUGAAAAUCUACGGCAAGAUUUGAAAAUGGCUAACUAGCAUUGAUCAACAACCAACUUGACAGAGCUUGAAGAAUUCUAAAAAUAAUGGGCAAAUAUUGUACAAUACCCAAAAAGACUCACAGCUGUAAUCACUGUCAAAGAUGUUUCUAUCACACCUUUCAUUCAUUUGUAAUAAAUGUUAUAAUUUUUCUAACACUUUGACAGUGUUGUGUAGAUUGACCAAAAAUGUAAUAAAAUCCAUUUGAAUCCCACUUUGUAACACAACAAAAUGUGGAAAGAGUCAAGGAGUGUGUCAGAGUCGUGUGUGUAUAGGUGGCAGGGAAGUCAGGCGCAGGAGAGUCAAAUGGAGUGUAAUGGAGUCUCUUUAAUUAGCAGUCCACUAAACAUACGCCAAAUACAAAAGUGGGUACGAGGACCCGUCACCUAUACAGACAUAGAUACAACACUGACAUAAAAACAAUCUCUGACAAAGACAUGAGGGGAAACAGAGGGUUAAAUACACAACAGGUAAUGAAUGGGAUUGAAACCAGGUGUGUAGGAAGACAAGACAAAACCAAUGGAAAAUGAAAAAUGGAUCAAUGAUGGCUAGAAGACCGGUGACGUCGACCGCCGAACAAGGAGAGGCAACAACUUCGGUAGAAGUCGUGACAGAGUGUGAAUACUUUCUGAAGGCACUGUACAUGAUCUCAAUGUAACAGCCACACAGAGCAUUGAAGAGGACAUGCUCUGACAUAUCAACACCGAAGUGACUCAGGACUGCCUACUGGAAGUUACUCCAGUCCAAGGGGUAUUUCAUUAUUCUGUCAGACUGAUGAUAUUUGAUCAAUGUUUUUUUUAACUUAAAUCGGUCACACAUUAUAAUAUGAAUUAACUGAAUAAAAAGUAUCUGAAGUAAUUAACUUUAUUAGAAAAAGCCCUAUAUUAGGCUAUGUAGGCCUAGUGUUACUGUUAAUUCUACACUGAAAUUGUCACGUUCUGACCUUUAUUUUCCCUUGUUUUGUCUUUAUUUAGUAUGGUCAGGGCGUGAGUUGGGGUGGGCAGUCUAUGUUAUUUGUUUCUAUGUUUAGGUUUGUUCAUUUAGCCUGAUAUGGUUCUCAAUCAGAGGCAGGUGUUUUGCAUUGUCUCUGAUUGGGAGCCAUAUUUAGGUUGCCUGUUUGCACUGUUGGUUUGUGGGUGUUUGUCUUCUGUGUCAGUG